rnacentral:rRNA from 1 species
UACGAAGGGGGCUAGCGUUGCUCGGAAUCACUGGGCGUAAAGGGUACGUAGGCGGGUCUUUAAGUCAGGGGUGAAAUCCUGGAGCUCAACUCCAGAACUGCCUUUGAUACUGAAGAUCUUGAGUGCGGGAGAGGUGAGUGGAACUGCGAGUGUAGAGGUGAAAUUCGUAGAUAUUCGCAAGAACACCAGUGGCGAAGGCGGCUCACUGGCCCGAUACUGACGCUGAGGCACGAAAGCGUGGGGAGCAAACAGGG